rnacentral:rRNA from 1 species
GAUGAACGCUGGCGGCGUGCCUAAUACAUGCAAGUCGAGCGAACAGACGAGGAGCUUGCUCCUCUGACGUUAGCGGCGGACGGGUGAGUAACACGUGGAUAACCUACCUAUAAGACUGGGAUAACUUCGGGAAACCGGAGCUAAUACCGGAUAAUAUAUUGAACCGCAUGGUUCAAUAGUGAAAGACGGUUUUGCUGUCACUUAUAGAUGGAUCCGCGCCGCAUUAGCUAGUUGGUAAGGCAACGGCUUACCAAGGCAACGAUGCGUAGCCGACCUGAGAGGGUGAUCGGCCACACUGGAACUGAGACACGGUCCAGACUCCUACGGGAGGCAGCAGUAGGGAAUCUUCCGCAAUGGGCGAAAGCCUGACGGAGCAACGCCGCGUGAGUGAUGAAGGUCUUCGGAUCGUAAAACUCUGUUAUUAGGGAAGAACAAAUGUGUAAGAAACUAUGCACGUCUUGACGGUACCUAAUCAGAAAGCCACGGCUAACUACGUG